GAAAUGCGAUAAGUAAUGCGAAUUGCAGAAUUUCCGUGAGUCAUCGAAUCUUUGAACGCACAUUGCGCCCGCCAGCACUCUGGCGGGCAUGCCUGUUCGAGCGUCAUUUCAACCCUCAGAACCCCUUGCGGGAUCUGGCGUUGGGGAUUGGCAUCCAGCCAGCCCCGAAAUCUAGUGGCGGUCCCUCCGCGACCUCCCCUGUGCAGUAGCGAUACCUCGCAGCGGGACAGCGGUCUGACCACGCCGUAAAACCCCCAACUUCUCAAGGUUGACCUCGAAUCAGGUAGGAAUACCCGCUGAACUUAAGC
rnacentral:misc_RNA from 1 species